GAGAGCCUGGACACAGGUGCUGCAUGGCCGUCGUCAGCUCGUGUCGUGAGAUGUUGGGUUAAGUCCCGCAACGAGCGCAACCCUUGUCAUUAGUUGCUACGAAAGGGCACUCUAAUGAGACUGCCGGUGACAAACCGGAGGAAGGUGGGGAUGACGUCAGGUCCUCAUGGCCCUUAUGGGUAGGGCUACACACGUCAUACAAUGGCCGGUACAGAGGGCUGCCAACCCGCGAGGGGGAGCCAAUCCCAGAAAACCGGUCGUAGUCCGGAUCGUAGUCUGCAACUCGACUGCGUGAAGUCGGAAUCGCUAGUAAUCGCGGAUCAGCUUGCCGCGGUGAAUACGUUCCCGGGUCCUGUACACACCGCCCGUCACACCAUGGGAGC
rnacentral:rRNA from 1 species